CUCUCUUCUCCGGAGGCUCUUAUCCUGACAGGUCUGCCCAGGGUGGUAAGGCAGUGAAGUGUCAGCCUCAGGUCAACCAGUUUCUGCCACCAGAACGGAGAAAAGAUGGAGGAGGGGCAGUAGAGACUGGACUGCUAUUGGAAAUGAUGAAGCCUCGCUGCAAAUGUGUCAGCCAUGCUAGCCUUCUACCCUCACCCACCAAGUGUCUUUUCUCCACCCCCAUCCCGGGGCAAGGGGCACGGAGGCGGCAGAGGAGGCCCAGUAUGACUGGGACUUUCA
rnacentral:lncRNA from 1 species